GACGAACGCUGGCGGCGUGCUUAACACAUGCAAGUCGAACGGAAAGGCCCUGCUUUUGUGGGGUGCUCGAGUGGCGAACGGGUGAGUAACACGUGAGUAACCUGCCCUUGACUUUGGGAUAACGUCAGGAAACUGGGGCUAAUACCGGAUAGGAGCUCCUGCUGCAUGGUGGGGGUUGGAAAGUUUCGGCGGUUGGGGAUGGACUCGCGGCUUAUCAGCUUGUUGGUGGGGUAGUGGCUUACCAAGGCUUUGACGGGUAGCCGGCCUGAGAGGGUGACCGGCCACAUUGGGACUGAGAUACGGCGCAGACUCCUACGGGAGGCAGCAGUGGGGAAUAUUGCACAAUGGGCGGAAGCCUGAUGCAGCAACGCCGCGUGCGGGAUGACGGCCUUCGGGGUGUAAACCGCUUUCGGCUGUGACGAAGCGUGAGUGACGGUAAUGGGUAAAGAAGCACCGGCUAACUACGUG
rnacentral:rRNA from 1 species